rnacentral:tRNA from 1 species
GGGGAUUUAGCUCAGUGGUAGAGCGCUUCCCUAGGAAGCGCAAGGUCCUGGGUUCGGUCCCCAGCUCCA